AAAUUUUACCCUUUUGAGACAGUGUAGAUGGACCUAGAGAACAUUAUGCUAAGUGAAAUGAGCCAGUAAAAGAAAGGCAGAUACUAUAUGAUUUCACUCAUAGGUAGAAUCUAAUAAAUGAAAUGAACAAGCAAAAUA